rnacentral:rRNA from 1 species
CAUGUCCUUUAGAUUAAAAUUUAAGGUCUAAUCUGCUCCAUGAAUUAUUUUAAAUAGCUGCAGUAUUUUGACUGUACAAAGGUAGCAUAAUAAAUAGUUUUUUAAUUGAAGACUUGUAUGAAGGAUUGGACGAGAAAAUUACUGUUUCAAUUUAAUUAGUGUUGAAUUUAACUUUUUAGUAAGAAGGCUAAAAUUUUUUUAAAAGACAAGAAGACCCUAUAGAGUUUUAUAAUUAACAGUUUUUAUUUUUUUUUGAAUUAUUAAAAAUUAAAUUUUUGUAUGUUAUUUGGUUGGGGUGAUUGGAAAAUUUAAUAAACUUUUCUAGUUUUAAAUUAUUUAUCUGUAAUUUUUAAAUCUAGCUAUUUAAAUUUAAAAUAAAUUACCUUAGGGAUAACAGCGUUAUGCAACUUUGAAGUUCUUAUUUUAAGUUGUGUUUGCGACCUCGAUGUUGGAUUAAAAUAAAUUAUUGGUGCAG